rnacentral:tRNA from 1 species
GGAGAGGUGGCCGAGCGGCUUAAGGCGGCGGUUUGCUAAACCGUUGUAUCUGUGCAAACGGGUACCGAGGGUUCGAAUCCCUCCCUCUCCG